CAAAUACUCCCUCCGUCCGGAAAUACUUGUCACCAAAAUGGAUAAAAGGAAAUGUAUCUAGACGUAUUUUAGUUUUAGAUACAUCUCUUUUUAUCCAUUUUGAUGAAAA
rnacentral:pre_miRNA from 1 species